UGAUUGUUCGUCGAUGAAUCUUGGAAUGU
rnacentral:sRNA from 1 species